rnacentral:lncRNA from 1 species
AAUAACUUGAAUUGUCAUACUCAGAGUUCAUUCUUGGGCUAUAGAUGAAGGGGUUCAACAUGGGGGUGAUCACAGCAUACAUCACUGAGGCAACUGUGCUCUUCCAGGAGGAGUGGGUAGCUGAGGAAUUCAGAUACACUCCAAAAACUGUGCCAUAAAAUAAUGAAACAACACAAAGAAUAUGGGGGAGAAAGGUGUCAAAGAACAAAGCCCACAAGAAUAUCUAGGGUGAGUAGGCAAGAGCAACAAGCUCAUCCUCUCUCCGGAGUCCCUAUGGAUUCCCCUAAAUUUACAAACCUGCCAGAUUUCUUAAAG